rnacentral:tRNA from 1 species
AGGGCUGUAGCUCAGAGGUAGAGCGGUGGUCUCCAAAGCCGCGCGUCGCGAGUUCGAUUCUUGCCAGCCCUG